rnacentral:rRNA from 1 species
UGCCCGCCUGGGGAGUNCGAUCGCAAGAUUAAACUCAAANGAAUUGACGGGGCCCCCACAAGCAGCGGAGCAUGCGGCUUAAUUCGACGCAACGCGAAGAACCUUACCAAGGCUUGACAUAUAGCGAAAAGUGGCAGAGAUGUCAUGUCCGCAAGGGCGCUAUACAGGUGGUGCAUGGUUGUCGUCAGCUCGUGUCGUGAGAUGUUGGGUUAAGUCCCGCAACGAGCGCAACCCUCGUUCUGUGUUACCAGCAUUUAGUUGGGGACUCACAGGAGACUGCCGGGGUCAACUCGGAGGAAGGUGGGGAUGACGUCAAAUCAUCAUGCCCCUUAUGUCUUGGGCUGCACGCAUGCUACAAUGGCCGGUACAAAGUGCUGCGAGAUCGUAAGAUUGAGCGAAUCACAUAAAGCCGGUCUCAGUUCGGAUUGAGGUCUGCAACUCGACCUCAUGAAGUCGGAGUUGCUAGUAAUCGUAGAUCAGCAACGCUACGGUGAAUACGUUCCCGGGGCUUGUACACACCGCCCGUCACGUCACGAAAGUCGGUAACACCCAAAGUUAGUGGCCCAACCGCAAGGGGGGAGCUACCUAAGGUGGGAUCGGUGAUUGGGACGAAGUCGUAACAAGGU